UAGUUGCAAGGUAUAGACCCGAAACCCGGUGAUCUAGCCAUGGGCAGGUUGAAGGUUGGGUAACACUAACUGGAGGACCGAACCGACUAAUGUUGAAAAAUUAGCGGAUGACUUGUGGCUGGGGGUGAAAGGCCAAUCAAACCGGGAGAUAGCUGGUUCUCCCCGAAAGCUAUUUAGGUAGCGCCUCGUGAACUCAUCUUCGGGGGUAGAGCACUGUUUCGGCUAGGGGGCCAUCCCGGCUUACCAAACCGAUGCAAACUCCGAAUACCGAAGAAUGUUAUCACGGGAGACACACGGCGGGUGCUAACGUCCGUCGUGAAGAGGGAAACAACCCAGACCGCCAGCUAAGGUCCCAAAGUCAUGGUUAAGUGGGAAACGAUGUGGGAAGGCAUAGACAGCCAGGAUGUUGGCUUAGAAGCAGCCAUCAUUUAAAGAAAGCGUAAUAGCUCACUGGUCGAGUCGGCCUGCGCGGAAGAUGUAACGGGGCUAAACCAUGCACCGAAGCUGCGGCAGCGACGCUUAGCGUUGUUGGGUAGGGGAGCGUUCUGUAAGCCGUUGAAGGUGGCCUGUGAGGGUUGCUGGAGGUAUCAGAAGUGCGAAUGCUGACAUAAGUAACGAUAAAGCGGGUGAAAAGCCCGCUCGCCGGAAGACCAAGGGUUCCUGUCCAACGUUAAUCGGGGCAGGGUGAGUCGACCCCUAAGGCGAGGCUGAAAAGCGUAGUCGAUGGGAAACAGGUUAAUAUUCCUGUACUUGGUGUUACUGCGAAGGGGGGACGGAGAAGGCUAGGCUAGCCGGGCGACGGUUGUCCCGGUUUAAGCGUGUAGGGGGUGUGACCUGGUAAAUCCGGUUGCAUACUAACCCUGAGGCGUGAUGACGAUGCACUACGGUGCAGAAGUAGUUGAUGCCCUGCUUCCAGGAAAAUCCUCUAAGCUCCAGGUAACAUUAAAUCGUACCCCAAACCGACACAGGUGGUCAGGUAGAGAAUACCAAGGCGCUUGAGAGAACUCGGGUGAAGGAACUAGGCAAAAUGGUGCCGUAACUUCGGGAGAAGGCACGCUGGCAUGUAGGUGAAGUCCCUCGCGGAUGGAGCUGAAGCCAGUCGAAGAUACCAGCUGGCUGCAACUGUUUAAUAAAAACACAGCACUGUGCAAACACGAAAGUGGACGUAUACGGUGUGACGCCUGCCCGGUGCUGGAAGGUUAAUUGAUGGGGUCAGCCGCAAGGCGAAGCUCUUGAUCGAAGCCCCAGUAAACGGCGGCCGUAACUAUAACGGUCCUAAGGUAGCGAAAUUCCUUGUCGGGUAAGUUCCGACCUGCACGAAUGGCGUAAUGAUGGCCAGGCUGUCUCCACCCGAGACUCAGUGAAAUUGAACUCGCUGUGAAGAUGCAGUGUACCCGCGGCAAGACGGAAAGACCCCGUGAACCUUUACUAUAGCUUGACACUGAACAUUGAGCCUUGAUGUGUAGGAUAGGUGGGAGGCUUUGAAGCGUGGACGCCAGUCUGCGUGGAGCCAUCCUUGAAAUACCACCCUUUAAUGUUUGAUGUUCUAACUCGGCCCCGUGAUCCGGGGUGAGGACAGUGUCUGGUGGGUAGUUUGACUGGGGCGGUCUCCUCCCAAAGAGUAACGGAGGAGCACGAAGGUUAGCUAAUCACGGUCGGACAUCGUGAGGUUAGUGCAAAGGCAUAAGCUAGCUUGACUGCGAGAGUGACGGCUCGAGCAGGUACGAAAGUAGGUCUUAGUGAUCCGGUGGUUCUGAAUGGAAGGGCCAUCGCUCAACGGAUAAAAGGUACUCCGGGGAUAACAGGCUGAUACCGCCCAAGAGUUCAUAUCGACGGCGGUGUUUGGCACCUCGAUGUCGGCUCAUCACAUCCUGGGGCUGAAGUAGGUCCCAAGGGUAUGGCUGUUCGCCAUUUAAAGUGGUACGCGAGCUGGGUUUAGAACGUCGUGAGACAGUUCGGUCCCUAUCUGCCGUGGGCGUUGGAAGAUUGAGAGGGGUUGCUCCUAGUACGAGAGGACCGGAGUGAACGCACCACUGGUGUUCGGGUUGUCAUGCCAAUGGCAUUGCCCGGUAGCUAAGUGCGGAAAAGAUAAGCGCUGAAAGCAUCUAAGCGCGAAACUUGCCUCAAGAUGAGUCUUCCCUGGGCCUUUAAGGCCCCUGAAGGAACGUUUAAGACUAAGACGUUGAUAGGCUGGGUGUGUAAGUGCAGCGAUGCAUUGAGCUAACCAGUACUAAUGAUCCGUGAGGCUUAACCUUACAACACCGAAGGUGUUU
rnacentral:rRNA from 1 species